CCUGGCAGUCAGAGGCGAUGAAGGACGUGCUAAUCUGCGAUAAGCGUCGGUAAGGUGAUAUGAACCGUUAUAACCGGCGAUUUCCGAAUGGGGAAACCCAGUGUGAUUCGUCACACUAUCAUUAACUGAAUCCAUAGGUUAAUGAGGCGAACCGGGGGAACUGAAACAUCUAAGUACCCCGAGGAAAAGAAAUCAACCGAGAUUCCCCCAGUAGCGGCGAGCGAACGGGGAGCAGCCCAGAGCCUGAAUCAGUGUGUGUGUUAGUGGAAGCGUCUGGAAAGGCGUGCGAUACAGGGUGACAGCCCCGUACACAAAAAUGCACAUAUUGUGAGCUCGAUGAGUAGGGCGGGACACGUGGUAUCCUGUCUGAAUAUGGGGGGACCAUCCUCCAAGGCUAAAUACUCCUGACUGACCGAUAGUGAACCAGUACCGUGAGGGAAAGGCGAAAAGAACCCCGGCGAGGGGAGUGAAAAAGAACCUGAAACCGUGUACGUACAAGCAGUGGGAGCACGCUUAGGCGUGUGACUGCGUACCUUUUGUAUAAUGGGUCAGCGACUUAUAUUCUGUAGCAAGGUUAACCGAAUAGGGGAGCCGAAGGGAAACCGAGUCUUAACUGGGCGUUAAGUUGCAGGGUAUAGACCCGAAACCCGGUGAUCUAGCCAUGGGCAGGUUGAAGGUUGGGUAACACUAACUGGAGGACCGAACCGACUAAUGUUGAAAAAUUAGCGGAUGACUUGUGGCUGGGGGUGAAAGGCCAAUCAAACCGGGAGAUAGCUGGUUCUCCCCGAAAGCUAUUUAGGUAGCGCCUCGUGAAUUCAUCUCCGGGGGUAGAGCACUGUUUCGGCAAGGGGGUCAUCCCGACUUACCAACCCGAUGCAAACUGCGAAUACCGGAGAAUGUUAUCACGGGAGACACACGGCGGGUGCUAACGUCCGUCGUGAAGAGGGAAACAACCCAGACCGCCAGCUAAGGUCCCAAAGUCAUGGUUAAGUGGGAAACGAUGUGGGAAGGCCCAGACAGCCAGGAUGUUGGCUUAGAAGCAGCCAUCAUUUAAAGAAAGCGUAAUAGCUCACUGGUCGAGUCGGCCUGCGCGGAAGAUGUAACGGGGCUAAACCAUGCACCGAAGCUGCGGCAGCGACACUAUGUGUUGUUGGGUAGGGGAGCGUUCUGUAAGCCUGUGAAGGUGUACUGUGAGGUAUGCUGGAGGUAUCAGAAGUGCGAAUGCUGACAUAAGUAACGAUAAAGCGGGUGAAAAGCCCGCUCGCCGGAAGACCAAGGGUUCCUGUCCAACGUUAAUCGGGGCAGGGUGAGUCGACUCCUAAGGCGAGGCCGAAAGGCGUAGUCGAUGGGAAACAGGUUAAUAUUCCUGUACUUGGUGUUACUGCGAAGGGGGGACGGAGAAGGCUAUGUUGGCCGGGCGACGGUUGUCCCGGUUUAAGCGUGUAGGCUGGUUUUCCAGGCAAAUCCGGAAAACUAAGGCUGAGGCGUGAUGACGAGGCACUACGGUGCUGAAGCAACAAAUGCCCUGCUUCCAGGAAAAGCCUCUAAGCAUCAGGUAACAUCAAAUCGUACCCCAAACCGACACAGGUGGUCAGGUAGAGAAUACCAAGGCGCUUGAGAGAACUCGGGUGAAGGAACUAGGCAAAAUGGUGCCGUAACUUCGGGAGAAGGCACGCUGAUAUGUAGGUGAAGUCCCUCGCGGAUGGAGCUGAAAUCAGUCGAAGAUACCAGCUGGCUGCAACUGUUUAUUAAAAACACAGCACUGUGCAAACACGAAAGUGGACGUAUACGGUGUGACGCCUGCCCGGUGCCGGAAGGUUAAUUGAUGGGGUCAGCGCAAGCGAAGCUCUUGAUCGAAGCCCCGGUAAACGGCGGCCGUAACUAUAACGGUCCUAAGGUAGCGAAAUUCCUUGUCGGGUAAGUUCCGACCUGCACGAAUGGCGUAAUGAUGGCCAGGCUGUCUCCACCCGAGACUCAGUGAAAUUGAACUCGCUGUGAAGAUGCAGUGUACCCGCGGCAAGACGGAAAGACCCCGUGAACCUUUACUAUAGCUUGACACUGAACAUUGAGCCUUGAUGUGUAGGAUAGGUGGGAGGCUUUGAAGUGUGGACGCCAGUCUGCAUGGAGCCGACCUUGAAAUACCACCCUUUAAUGUUUGAUGUUCUAACGUUGACCCGUAAUCCGGGUUGCGGACAGUGUCUGGUGGGUAGUUUGACUGGGGCGGUCUCCUCCUAAAGAGUAACGGAGGAGCACGAAGGUUGGCUAAUCCUGGUCGGACAUCAGGAGGUUAGUGCAAUGGCAUAAGCCAGCUUGACUGCGAGCGUGACGGCGCGAGCAGGUGCGAAAGCAGGUCAUAGUGAUCCGGUGGUUCUGAAUGGAAGGGCCAUCGCUCAACGGAUAAAAGGUACUCCGGGGAUAACAGGCUGAUACCGCCCAAGAGUUCAUAUCGACGGCGGUGUUUGGCACCUCGAUGUCGGCUCAUCACAUCCUGGGGCUGAAGUAGGUCCCAAGGGUAUGGCUGUUCGCCAUUUAAAGUGGUACGCGAGCUGGGUUUAGAACGUCGUGAGACAGUUCGGUCCCUAUCUGCCGUGGGCGCUGGAGAACUGAGGGGGGCUGCUCCUAGUACGAGAGGACCGGAGUGGACGCAUCACUGGUGUUCGGGUUGUCAUGCCAAUGGCACUGCCCGGUAGCUAAAUGCGGAAGAGAUAAGUGCUGAAAGCAUCUAAGCACGAAACUUGCCCCGAGAUGAGUUCUCCCUGACUCCUUGAGAGUCCUGAAGGAACGUUGAAGACGACGACGUUGAUAGGCCGGGUGUGUAAGCGCAGCGAUGCGUUGAGCUAACCGGUACUAAUGAACCGUGAGGCUUAACCUUACAACGCCGAAGGUGUUU
rnacentral:rRNA from 1 species